ACCCGGCUAGCUCAAUCGGCAGAGCGUGAGACUCUUAAUCUCAAGGUUGUGGGUUCGACCCCCACGUCGGGCU
rnacentral:tRNA from 1 species